rnacentral:misc_RNA from 1 species
UACGUAGGUGGCAAGCGUUGUCCGGAAUUCUUGGGCGUAAAGCGCGCGCAGGCGGUCUUGUAAGUCUGAUGUGAAAGCCCCCGGCUCAACCGGGGAGGGUCAUUGGAAACUGCGAGACUUGAGUACAGAAGAGGAGGGUGGAAUUCCACGUGUAGCGGUGAAAGGCGUAGAUAUGUGGAGGAACAACAGUGGCGAAGGCGACUCUCUGGUCUGUAACUGACGCUGAGGCGCGAAAGCGUGGGGAGCAAACAGG